rfam:Triticum aestivum genome assembly, contig: Triticum_aestivum_CS42_TGACv1_scaffold_499847_6BL
ACACUACUCCCUCCGUCCGGAAAUACUUGUCAUAGAAAUGGAUACAAAUGAAUAUAUCUAGAACUAAAAUAAAUCUAGGUACAUCCAUUCCUCAAACAAGUAUUUCCGGACGAAGGGAAUACAAU